AGCGGUCAAGUGAUGAUUAGAUGCAUAGUUCAAAUGACUAAUUCGUGAUUAUAAUAUCUUUCGCUCCUGAUGACUUAG